UUGGCAGCCAUGGAGACUAAAGUCCAUUAUUUCCCCAAAGAACAGACACAAGACAGGCAUCGGUAAUGCAAGCUUCCCUGACACUGUUCCCAAAAUAAUCCUCAACUCCUGAUCUGAAGGGGUCAUCUCAAAUGGGGAGAGGGAAAUUCAGAUUCCAUGGUCCAUUCACCCUCUCUGCUAAG
rnacentral:sRNA from 1 species